rnacentral:rRNA from 1 species
GACGAACGCUGGCGGCGUGCUUAACACAUGCGAGUCGAACGGAAAGGCACUGCUUUUGUGGGGUGCUCGAGUGGCGAACGGGUGAGUAACACGUGAGUAACCUGCCCUUGACUUUGGGAUAACUUCAGGAAACUGGGGCUAAUACCGGAUAGGAGCUCCUGCUGCAUGGUGGGGGUUGGAAAGUUUCGGCGGUUGGGGAUGGACUCGCGGCUUAUCAGCUUGUUGGUGGGGUAGUGGCUUACCAAGGCUUUGACGGGUAGCCGGCCUGGGAGCGUGACCGGCCACAUUGGGACUGAGAUACGGCCCAGACUCCUACGGGAGGCAGCAGUGGGGAAUAUUGCACAAUGGGCGGAAGCCUGAUGCAGCAACGCCGCGUGCGGGAUGACGGCCUUCGGGUUGUAAACCGCUUUCGCCUGUGACGAAGCGUGAGUGACGGUAAUGGGUAAAGAAGCACCGGCUAACUACGUG